AUCAUCCAAAUUCCAUAGAACUUUCAAGAGAAAGAAUAGGAGGAAAAACAAGAGAAAAACAAGAACAAAAAGAGGGCAUUUCGGGUUUGGCCAUAGAAAAAUCACCCCUCAAAAUCUUGCCUCUAAAAUUAUUUUCUUGUUGAAUUCCUACUAAAUUAAGUGUCCUCUACAACUUGGUGUAAUUGUUUUGGAAGAAGGAGCACUUAUUUCUUCAAGUUGACAACUUGUUCAAGUGAAGAAGUUUGUAGAAAAAGUUUUUCGACGAAACGGGAAGUGAGUUUGGAAAGGCUUAAGGAGCGCGAAAGGUACUGACGACAGGUUCGCUGAUCCACACGUUUAGGAUCCUAUUUCUGCUAUUUGGGGCGCUCUAUUCUACAGAGCCCAUCUUUUGGUACAGUCUGUCACUGCUAUCUGGAUAUGUACUUUGUUC